GCAAGUCGAACGGCAGCACAGGAGAGCUUGCUCUCUGGGUGGCGAGUGGCGGACGACGUGCCGAUCUAUGCAGCCUUACUCUGGCGAGGGGGAUAACGUGCGGCUAGUGACGCUAAUACCGCAUACGCCUACGGGUGAAAGCAGGCGACCUUCAGGACUUGCGCGAUUGAAUGAGCCGAUGUCGGAUUAGCUAGUUGGAGGUGUAAAGGCCCACCAAGGCGACGAUCCGUAGCUGGUCUGAGAGGAUGAUCAGCCACACUGGAACUGAGACACGGUCCAGACUCCUACGGGAGGCAGUAGUGGGGGAAUAUUGGACAAUGGGCGCAAGCCUGAUCCAGCCAUACCGCGUGGGUGAAGAAGGGCUUCGGAUUGUAAAGCCCUUUGAUGGGAAAGAAAUCCAGCCGGCUAAUACCCGGUUGGGAUGACGGUACCAAAAGAAUAAGCACCGGCUAACUUCGUGCCAGCAGCCGCGGUAAUACGAAGGGUGCAAGCGUUACUCGGAAUUACUGGUGGAAAGCGUGCGGAUGCGGACGUUUAAGGCCGUUGUGAAAGCCCUGGGCUCAACCUGGGAACUGCAGUGGAUACUGGACGACUAGAAUGUGGUAGAGGGUAGCGGAAUUGCAGUGGUACCAGAGGAUGCGGAGAGAUCAAGAGGAACAUCCAUGGCGAAGGCAGCUACCUGGACCAACAUUGACACUGAGGAACGAAAGCGUGUGGAGGAAACAGGAUUAGAUACCCUGGUAGUCCACGCCCUAGACGAUGGAACUGUUGGGUGCAAUUUGGCACGCAGUAUCGAAGCUACCGCGAUAAGUUCGCCGCCUGGGGAGUACGAUCGCAAGACUGAGACUCAAAGCGAAUUGCCGGGGGCCCGCACAAGCGGUGGAGUAGGGGUUCAAUUCGAUGCAACGCGAAGAACCUUACCUGGCCUUGGCAUGUCGAGAUCUUUCCAGAGAUGGAUUGGUGCCUUCGGGAACUCGAACACAGGUCCUGCAUGGCUGAAGACACAUCGUCUCCUGGAUGUUGGGAUAAGUCCCGCAGCGAGCGCAAGCCUAGUCCCUAGUUGACAGCACGUAAUGGCGGGACCUCUAAGGAGACCGCCGGUGACAAUCCGGAGGAAGGUGGGGAUGACGUCAAGUCAUCAUGCCCUUACUCCCAGGGCUACACACGUACUACAAUGGUAGGGACAGAGGGCUGCAAGCCGGCGACGGUAAGCCAAUCCCAGAAACCCUAUUUCAGUCCGGAUUGGAGUCUGCAACUCGACUCCAUGAAGCGGAAUCGCUAGUAAUCGCAGCUCCGCAUUGCUGCGGUGAAUACGUUCGCCGGGUCCUUGUACACACCGCUCGUCACACCAUGGGAGUUUGUUGCA
rnacentral:rRNA from 1 species